rnacentral:tRNA from 1 species
GGCGGGGCCGGCCGGCGCGGCGGGCGGCACCGGCGCGCCGGGCGCCGGGUCCGCGGCCGGGUUCAGCGUGGCCCCGCCG